AAAAUAAGGUGAUUAAUGGUGUCUAAAGCCAUACUAUCAGCUCUGUGAGAAUGUACUUAGGCAUAGUGGUGCUUUAGCGAAAUGCUAAUGUCAACAACAUGCUAACGUGCUCACAAUGACAAUGCUAACAUGCUGAUGCUAAGAAGGUAUAGUGUUCACCAUGUUCAGCAUCUUAUUUAAGGUGUUA